CGCCUGUUUAUCAAAAACAUGUCCUUUUGUUAAUAAUUUAAGGUCUAGCCUGCCCACUGAAUAUUUAAUGGCCGCGGUAAUUUGACCGUGCUAAGGUAGCAUAAUCAUUAGUUUUUUAAUUGAAAGCUGGUAUGAAUGGUUGGAUGAGAAAAUAACUGUCUCUUAAAAAUUUUUUUUGAAUUUUAUAUUUAAGUUAAAAAGCUUAAAUUUUUUUAAAAGACGAGAAGACCCUAUAGAGUUUUAUAAAAUUAAUUAUUUGAGUUUUUAGUAUUUUUAUUUUGUAUAUUUAAUUUUAUUUGAUUGGGGUGAUUGAAAAAUUUAAUAAACUUUUUUUAUAUAAUUACAUAAAUUAAUGAUUAAUUGAUCCAUAGAAAUGAUUAUAAGAUUAAAUUACCUUAGGGAUAACAGCGUAAUUUUUUUUGAGAGUUCUAAUCGAAAAAAAAGUUUGCGACCUCGAUGUUGGAUUAAAGUUAAUUUU
rnacentral:rRNA from 1 species